GAUGAACGCUGGCGGCGUGCCUAAUACAUGCAAGUCGAGCGAACAGACGAGGAGCUUGCUCCUCUGACGUUAGCGGCGGACGGGUGAGUAACACGUGGAUAACCUACCUAUAAGACUGGGAUAACUUCGGGAAACCGGAGCUAAUACCGGAUAAUAUAUUGAACCGCAUGGUUCAAUAGUGAAAGACGGUUUUGCUGUCACUUAUAGAUGGAUCCGCGCCGCAUUAGCUAGUUGGUAAGGUAACGGCUUACCAAGGCAACGAUGCGUAGCCGACCUGAGAGGGUGAUCGGCCACACUGGAACUGAGACACGGUCCAGGCUCCUACGGGAGGCAGCAGUAGGGAAUCUUCCGCAAUGGGCGAAAGCUUUACGGAGCAACGCCGCGUGAGUGAUGAAGGUCUUCGGAUCGUAAAACUCUGUUAUUAGGGAAGAACAAAUGUGUAAGUAACUAUGCACGUCUUGACGGUACCUAAUCAGAAAGCCACGGCUAACUACGUG
rnacentral:rRNA from 1 species